GAGCGAACAGACGAGGAGCUUGCUUCUCUGACGUUAGCGGCGGACGGGUGAGUAACACGUGGAUAACCUACCUAUAAGACUGGGAUAACUUCGGGAAACCGGAGCUAAUACCGGAUAAUAUAUUGAACCGCAUGGUUCAAUAGUGAAAGACGGUUUUGCUGUCACUUAUAGAUGGAUCCGCGCCGCAUUAGCUAGUUGGUAAGGUAACGGCUUACCAAGGCAACGAUGCGUAGCCGACCUGAGAGGGUGAUCGGCCACACUGGAACUGAGACACGGUCCAGACUCCUACGGGAGGCAGCAGUAGGGAAUCUUCCGCAAUGGGCGAAAGCCUGACGGAGCAACGCCGCGUGAGUGAUGAAGGUCUUCGGAUCGUAAAACUCUGUUAUUAGGGAAGAACAAAUGUGUAAGUAACUAUGCACGUCUUGACGGUACCUAAUCAGAAAGCCACGGCUAACUACGUGCCAGCAGCCGCGGUAAUACGUAGGUGGCAAGCGUUAUCCGGAAUUAUUGGGCGUAAAGCGCGCGUAGGCGGUUUUUUAAGUCUGAUGUGAAAGCCCACGGCUCAACCGUGGAGGGUCAUUGGAAACUGGAAAACUUGAGUGCAGAAGAGGAAAGUGGAAUUCCAUGUGUAGCGGUGAAAUGCGCAGAGAUAUGGAGGAACACCAGUGGCGAAGGCGA
rnacentral:rRNA from 1 species